rnacentral:rRNA from 1 species
UGACGGGGUGCAGCAGGCGCGAAAACUUUACAAUGCGGGAAACCGUGAUAAGGGGACACCGAGUGCUAGCAUCAUAUGCUGGCUGUCCAGGUGUGUAAAAUACACCUGUUAGCAAGGGCCGGGCAAGACCGGUGCCAGCCGCCGCGGUAAUAC